UACGUAGGGGGCAAGCGUUGUCCGGAUUUAUUGGGCGUAAAGAGCGUGUAGGCGGCCAUACAGGUCAGCUGUGAAAACUCGAGGCUCAACCUCGAGACGUCGGUUGAAACCGUAUGGCUAGAGUCCGGAAGAGGAGAGUGGAAUUCCCGGUGUAGCGGUGAAAUGCGCAGAUAUCGGGAGGAACACCAGUGGCGAAGGCGACUACCUGGCCUGUUCUUGACGCUGAGGCGCGAAAGCUAGGGGAGCAAACGGG
rnacentral:rRNA from 1 species